rnacentral:lncRNA from 1 species
UCCAAUUUAGGUUGAUUGUACUGUGGUAUUGGGUUGAUAACUUUGAGGAUUUCAAAUCAGAAAACCAAGGUGGAUUUUUCCUUCAAGAUCUUUAGGGUUUGAAUAUUUUGGACAAGAUUACGUAAUUCGGAUCCGACCGAGUGAAGUCUUUGAAGAACGAGAGUUUCUUAGCAAAGGAGUAGCGUGGAACAGUGGAUCG